GUGUAAGUUUAGGGUCGAUAGUUCGAAGCUCUAUGACACAUUUUGAAGCUUAUUUAGUCAUUUCGAAGCCUUCGUCGGAGGUAGGGUGCGACUGGGUUGUCAGUUCUCCUCUCACCGUCCUGAAGGACCUUAUUCCUGUCAAGGGCCGGGCAGCAAACGCGUCCUACGUGAAAGCUUCCUUGUAGCUGGUGGUUGACAUCCAGUGAGGGUACCAGCUUGUGAGUGAGCUUCACCAACCGUUCUUGUGUCUCCUGUUCGUCGGAGGCAGAUGUGUUACCUACCAGAGGAAACUCCAGUGCUGUAGGGAAGCGGAUGUGACCACAGCGGCUCUGUACUGUUACACUCCGCGUUCUGGGUGCAACGAGUUUCCGGCAUCACGCCAGAUCUCCAGUUAUUAAACACGAGUGUGAAUAUGUCGGCACCCUGUGUGCAGGAGUGGUGAUUGACAAUUUGUAUUUUGUGGAAGUGUUAGCUGUUAGGGUUGUUUGAAUGCUUGUGUUUUCGUGAGAUGUGGUUGUGCGUUAUUGAAUGACGGGUGGCGUGAGUAUGAAUAAACUGUGAAUUAGA